GUGGACAGAGAGCACAGCACCAGCACUUCAGCAGCCCAGGCGGGGAAGAAACCGGCAUCACAGCCAGCACCGCCUGCUCUGGACAUAGGGCUGAGGCCCAGGCCUCCGUGCUGUGUUGCUUGGACAGAGAAAUCCUGGGGAUGGAAUCAGUCUCCUGCCCUGGUUCUGGGCUUCGGGUUUGAGUAGAGACUGGUUUACCUUUGUAAAGCCCCGGUGGGCUGUGGGAACCCAGGCCUUGCCUGCCUGGAACCCUGAGCUAGGAGAGGGUUGCUGAAGCUAGAGGAAAUUGAAGCCUUGGGGCGAUUGAAUGUAUGGGAAGUGCUGAAGAAUCUGCCUUAGCGCCAGGUGGAACAGAGGGGCUUUAGUUCGAGGCAGACGAUAGUGAGACCCUUGGAGAGCCAACGGAUGUCCCGGUGGGCUGCAGUGGCCAUGCCGACCAAAGGGCAAAAGGAGGUUCGGAGAGAGCCCUGUGGAUGAGCAAGCCUUGGCAGGGCUCUCACAGCAGUGAAGGGUUUGGAUGUUUGGCAGACUGGACCCAGGCCAGGCCUCAAAUCAGUGGGGGUAAGGAGGGCCUGAAGCACCUGGGUGUUUCUCUCUCCUGGUGGGUGAGCUGAAGGCCAGGCACAGUGAAGGUAGGACGCUAGAUUCUUUUGUUCAUAAGACAAUCCCCCUCCCAGCUUUUAGGGAAGCCAAGGCUUUGGGGUGUCUCUGCUGGCUGCGCUCUCUCCUCCUUUAGUACUGAGAGAGAAGACAAGCUACAGGGAGAAAGAGACAGUGACACACAGCUUAGAGAAAAGGAGAGAGGAUGAGGGGACCGAAGAAGAUAGGGGAAAGAAAAGGAAGAAGGGAAAAAGAAAUAGAGAUUGAAAAGAGAGAGGACUGGAUAGAGAAAAGGGAGAAGAGUAAAGAAAAGAAGGAGGGAGACAAGAAGAGGG
rnacentral:lncRNA from 1 species